ensembl:lncRNA
UUAUAAUAUGUGAACAAAGCUACCAAUUUUACUGUAUCCUUCAAGGUUUGUGUGUGUGCUGGGUCACUUUAGUUGUGUCCAGGUCUUUGUGAUCCUAUGGACUGUAGCCUGACAGGCUCCUCUGUCCAUGUGAUUUGCCAGGCCUAUUUGCCAAAGGCAAUUUACUGAAUAAUCAAGUCAACACUGUCAAAGAAAUACAGUAAGCUGGGUCCAGGACAGUCCUCUGCAAAGACAAAGGCAAGGGCAGAGGUGGAGGGGAUCUUCCCUGACCCAGGGAUUGAAACCGUGUCUCCUGAACGUCCCCUGCACGUCCCCUGCAAGGCAGAUGAAAUCUUUACCCCUGACUCACUGCGGAAGCCCGACUUAAGAUGUGACCUGGCUAAUAUCUCCAUCCUUGAGGUCGUAUGAAGGAGACAAAGUGAUCAAAGAAAGCAACAAUGACUUGGCACACCUCUGGUUAAUUUGUUAAUAUCCUUCUGUAUCUGCGUGGGUGGAAGAGUAAAGUAGAACAUACAAGCGACUCUACCCACAUUUGAAAGCUGUAUUCCUAGAAAAUAUGCCCCCUACAUAUCAUAGAUUCUGACCAGCUAGAGCAAGAGUUCCCCAUCUUGGAGGGAGGGGGACAGAGUUCCUUUCUUAAGAGCACAGUGUAGAGGAGAGUGCUGUCCUGUGGUCACCUGCCUACUUGUCUUUAUCCUUCACAAAAAUGGAGUUUCUUGAGGUACUUGAAGACUGAGUGUUUUGGAGAAAAAUGCAUAUAUCUUCUAUGAGGUACUGCAGUAGUAAUAUUUACCAGACACUUAGUAGUACUUGCUAAAUUAAUUGUACACUCCUUAUCUUAUAGUCUGUUAGAGUAACUCUCCACAUGUUGUACCUGGAAUUAAACGAAACUCCUCAUGUAUGAAAUGCCCCACAACAAAACUCUCCUGGCUGUUGCUUCCUGAUAUGGUUACUUAGCCUCCUUGUGAGGGCUUGUUACUUCUGUUUGUGUUCAGGAGCUAGUCUAGCACUAACCAGCUGAUUUAUAAAUGAUGGUUUCCAUGCUCUGAAUGGAUACUCUGCAAGAAUGGAGGCACAGCCUGUGCCAGUGGACUCCACAAUCAUCCCCUCCAUCAAACUUUCUUCUCUUCUAUAAACAGUUUACAAUGUAGAUUUAAUAGAGCAGAGCUAUUUUAAAAACUAUGCAGUGUCAUAUAAUAACUUAAUGUUAUUUUAUGCACUUUAUCAUAAAUAGCUCUUGUUUGGGAGGGAUUGGGGGCAGGAGGAGAAGGGGACGACAGAGGAUGAGAUGGCUGGAUGGCAUCACUGACUCGAUGGAUGUGAGUCUGAGUGAACUCCGGGAGUUGGUGAUGGACAGGGAGGCCUGGUGUGCUGCGAUUCCUGGGGUUGCAAAGAAUCGGACACAACUGAGCGACUGAAGUGAACUGAACUGUCCG